rnacentral:rRNA from 1 species
AGGACGAACGCUGGCGGCGUGCCUAACACAUGCAAGUCGAACGCGCUCCAUUCGGUAGCAAUACUGAUGAAGAGCGAGUGGCGAACGGGUGAGUAGCACGUGAGCAACCUGCCCCGAAGACUGGGACAACACCGGGAAACCGGUGCUAAUACCGGAUAUCCCUAUCGGAUCGCAUGAUCUGAUAAGGAAAUGUUUUUCGCUUCGGGAGGGGCUCGCGGCCUAUCAGCUAGUUGGUGGGGUAACGGCCUACCAAGGCAUCGACGGGUAGCUGGUCUGAGAGGACGAUCAGCCACACUGGGACUGAGACACGGCCCAGACUCCUACGGGAGGCAGCAGUGGGGAAUCUUGCGCAAUGGGCGAAAGCCUGACGCAGCAACGCCGCGUGGAGGACGAAGGCUUUCUGAGUUGUAAACUCCUUUCAGCAGGGACGAUUGUGACGGUACCUGCAGAAGAAGCACCGGCCAACUACGUGCCAGCAGCCG